rnacentral:rRNA from 1 species
AGCGAACGCUGGCGGCAGGCUUAACACAUGCAAGUCGAGCGGGCGUAGCAAUACGUCAGCGGCAGACGGGUGAGUAACGCGUGGGAACGUACCUUUUGGUUCGGAACAACACAGGGAAACUUGUGCUAAUACCGGAUAAGCCCUUACGGGGAAAGAUUUAUUGCCGAAAGAUCGGCCCGCGUCUGAUUAGCUAGUUGGUGAGGUAAUGGCUCACCAAGGCUACGAUCUAUAGCUGGUCUGAGAGGAUGAUCAGCCACACUGGGACUGAGACACGGCCCAGACUCUUACGGGAGGCAGCAGUGGGGAAUCUUGGACAAUGGCCGAAAGGCUGAAGCAGCAACGCCGCGUGGAGGAUGAAAUACUUUUGUAUGUAAACUCCUGUAAGAAGGGAAAAAUAUUCCGAUUUAUCGGGAUUGAUUGUACCUUCAGAGUAAGCCCCGGCUAACU